UCACAAAAGACACGUGGGAAAGAUCAUCGUUCUUAUGGAACGCAAGGUCAAAGUAAACCAAAUUUAAGCAGGCAUUCAAGUGCUAGAAAAGAAAACUAUACAACAAUCGCAGAUGCCAAAUCUGAUCUUCUAUCAUACGCGGAAAAGAUUAAGAGAGAGUGGAAGGAUGCAAACGAAAGGAAUUUUUUUUCAGCUCCAGAUAUACAUCGCCUAUACGGAGAUUACACUCGUGUUAUUAACUGGCUCGAUGCAAAUAAGAAACCAUCUCUAGUUGACAUACAAACGAAAAGAAAACAGUUACAAGACACAUAUGAAGCCUGUGGAUUGGGCAAAAGCGGAUGGGCUCAAUCUGACGUUUUAUAACUCACUCUUCAUGUAUUAUAUAUUUUUCAAAUUUUCAUGUAGAGCUAUUUUUUUCUAUACAUUUUUUGUCGUCUCCAAAUUUAAGACAAAGC